ACGCUCCUGACUCUUCGAAACAAGCCCUUUUUAAAGGUGGCCCGGGAAAGAUAGGUAGGUUAGUGUGUCACUCCCGCACGACGGCAGUUUGCCUGUAGAAAUGAAAGCGAGAUUUUUUUUUUCUUUGUUUCAAAAAGGGCCGAAGUCCAUUUCUCAGAAAGCAGUGCAGUUUUGUAGCUUUCAAGCUCAACUUCCAGUUUCGGUAUUUACUCCAGUAAUUGCCAAAUGUCCUACACACCCUUUUUGGGCGAGCUUUCCCACAGCGCACUGAUUCGUGUUCACUUUGCCGAACCAGAGUACGAAGCUGAAGAGCUCUCGACAGCAACGGCACAACUGUCUUGCAUUAGGCGAGCCGCAGUCGGCGCUCGACCCAGGAGGACGCGACGCUCGCUAGGCAGUGUGCAAGACGCCGAGGCUCCAGCGAGUAGCGGCCAGAUCCCACAUCCACCGGUGCAUGAACGUUUUCUUUCCGUCUUCCCAGGGAGGAUAGGCUAAAACGAAGAUGAGGGUGACCCUCGGAACAGUGGCUGCAAUCAGAAAGCGCACGGGGAGUACUAGAAGUUGCGAUUGUCUGUCGAUAUAACUGAGUUUCACUGCAAUCAAUGCACGUUUGAAAUGAUGGCCAAUGCAAGUAAGGCAAGGAUUCUGAAAAGAAAUUAAAUAGGCCUUAGAAAGUGAAAUAAAAUUCAAUAGUUUUACUGGU